UAUUGCGCAAUGGGCGGAAGCCUGACGCAGCGACGCCGCGUGGGGGAUGACGGCCUUCGGGUUGUAAACCUCUUUCAGCCUUGACGAAGCUGCCAGUUGUUGCUGGUGGUGACGGUAUGGGUAGAAGAAGCGCCGGCCAACUACGUGCCAGCAGCCGCGGUAAGACGUAGGGCGCGAGCGUUGUCCGGAUUUAUUGGGCGUAAAGAGCUCGUAGGCGGCUUGUCGCGUCGACUGUGAAAUCCUGCGGCUUAACUGUGGGGUUGUGGUUGAUACGGGCAGGCUUGAGUUCGGUAGGGGAGACUGGAAUUCCUGGUGUAGCGGUGAAAUGCGCAGAUAUCAGGAGGAACACCGGUGGCGAAGGCGGGUCUCUGGGCCGAUACUGACGCUGAGGAGCGAAAGCGUGGGGAGCGAAC
rnacentral:rRNA from 1 species